rnacentral:rRNA from 1 species
UACGUAGGGGGCAAGCGUUGUCCGGAAUCAUUGGGCGUAAAGAGCGUGUAGGCGGCCAUGCAGGUCCGUUGUGAAAACUCGAGGCUCAACCUCGAGACGCCGGUGGAAACCGUGUGGGCUAGAGUCCGGAAGAGGAGAGUGGAAUUCCUGGUGUAGCGGUGAAAUGCGCAGAUAUCAGGAAGAACACCCGUGGCGAAGGCGGCUCUCUGGGACGGUACUGACACUGAGGCGCGAAAGCGUGGGGAGCGAACAGG